rnacentral:lncRNA from 1 species
GGAAUUAUUCUAAGUUGAUAACUUUUUUCGAAAGUAAACAAUGAAUUGGUCCCCGUCGAAUUCAUAGCUAGCUAGCUUUUGAAUGCUACAUUUAAUUUCUUCAUUCAGUUCGUUUCUGACAAAAGAUUUUCCCUCACUAGUUCCUUUUCUAACCAACACACAUUUUUGGGCACAUAUAAAUCUGCAUAGAGGUUUACAAAAAAAAAUAAAAAAUACAUCCGCAUAGAUACGCAUGUAUAUAUUAUUCACUUGGCAACUUGAAUAUAACCUCUGCUUUUAUUUUAAUUCGAUAAAUACAAAUUUUGUCUUGCCAAAUUAAUGAAAAG